UUAAGUUAAUAAGGGCGCACGGUGGAUGCCUUGGCACUAGGAGCCGACGAAGGACGUGACAAACGACGAUAUGCCUUGGGUAGCUGUAAGUAAGCGAUGAUCCAGGGAUUUCCGAAUGGGGGAACCCAACAGGUAAUACCUGUUACCUACAUCUGUUAAGGAUGUGAGGAGGAAGACGCAGUGAACUGAAACAUCUAAGUAGCUGCAGGAAGAGAAAGCAAAAGCGAUUGCCUUAGUAGCGGCGAGCGAAACGGCAGAAGGGCAAACCGAAGAGUUUACUCUUCGGGGUUGUAGGACUGCAAUGUGGACUCAAAGAUUAUAGAAGAAUGAUUUGGGAAGAUCAGCCAAAGAGAGUAAUAGCCUCGUAUUUAAAAUAGUCUUUGUACUUAGCAGUAUCCUGAGUACGGCGGGACACGUGAAAUCCCGUCGGAAUCUGGGAGGACCAUCUCCCAACCCUAAAUACUCCCUAGUGACCGAUAGUGAACCAGUACCGUGAGGGAAAGGUGAAAAGCACCCCCGGGAGGGGAGUGAAAUAGAACCUGAAACCGUGUGCCUACAACAAGUUCGAGCCCGUUAAUGGGUGAGAGCGUGCCUUUUGUAGAAUGAACCGGCGAGUUACGUAUGAUGCGAGGUUAAGUUGAAGAGACGGAGCCGUAGGGAAACCGAGUCUGAAUAGGGCGCCUUAGUAUCAUGACGUAGACCCGAAACCAUGAGACCUAACCAUGAGCAGGUUGAAGGUGCGGUAAGACGCACUGGAGGACCGAACCAGGGCACGUUGAAAAGUGCUUGGAUGACUUGUGGGUAGCGGAGAAAUUCCAAACGAACUUGGAGAUAGCUGGUUCUCUCCGAAAUAGCUUUAGGGCUAGCGUCGACAUUAGAGAUUCUUGGAGGUAGAGCACUUGUUUGGGUGAGGGGGUCCUAUCCCGGAUUACCAAUCUCAGAUAAACUCCGAAUGCCAAUGAAUUAUGGUCGGCAGUCAGACUGCGAGUGCUAAGAUCCGUAGUCGAAAGGGAAACAGCCCAGACCACCAGCUAAGGUCCCAAAAUAAUUGUUAAGUGGAAAAGGAUGUGGGGUUGCACAGACAACUAGGAUGUUAGCUUAGAAGCAGCUAUUCAUUCAAAGAGUGCGUAAUAGCUCACUAGUCGAGUGACCCUGCGCCGAAAAUGUACCGGGGCUAAAACAAUUUACCGAAGCUGUGGAUACCUUUAUAGGUAUGGUAGGAGAGCGUUCUAUGUGUGAUGAAGGUAUACCGUGAGGAGUGCUGGAACGCAUAGAAGUGAGAAUGCCGGUAUGAGUAGCGAAAGACAGGUGAGAAUCCUGUCCACCGUAAGACUAAGGUUUCCAGGGGAAGGCUCGUCCGCCCUGGGUUAGUCGGGACCUAAGGAGAGACCGAAAGGUGUAUCCGAUGGACAACAGGUUGAUAUUCCUGUACUAGAGUAUGUAGUGAUGGAGGGACGCAGUAGGCUAACUAAAGCAGACGAUUGGAAGAGUCCGUCUAAGCAGUGAGGUGUGAAUUGAGUCAAAUGCUUAAUUCUAUAACAUUGAGCUGUGAUGGGGAGCGAAGUUUAGUAGCGAAGUUAGUGACGUCACACUGCCAAGAAAAGCUUCUAGCGUUUAAACAUACUCUACCCGUACCGCAAACCGACACAGGUAGUCGAGGCGAGUAGCCUCAGGUGAGCGAGAGAACUCUCGUUAAGGAACUCGGCAAAAUGACCCCGUAACUUCGGGAGAAGGGGUGCUGACUUAAAGUCAGCCGCAGUGAAUAGGCCCAAGCAACUGUUUAUCAAAAACACAGCUCUCUGCUAAAUCGUAAGAUGAUGUAUAGGGGGUGACGCCUGCCCGGUGCUGGAAGGUUAAGAGGAGUGCUUAGCGUAAGCGAAGGUAUGAAUUGAAGCCCCAGUAAACGGCGGCCGUAACUAUAACGGUCCUAAGGUAGCGAAAUUCCUUGUCGGGUAAGUUCCGACCCGCACGAAAGGCGUAAUGAUUUGGGCACUGUCUCAACGAGAGACUCGGUGAAAUUUUAGUACCUGUGAAGAUGCAGGUUACCCGCGACAGGACGGAAAGACCCCAUGGAGCUUUACUGCAGUUUGAUAUUGAGUGUCUGUACCACAUGUACAGGAUAGGUAGGAGUCUAAGAGAUCGGGACGCCAGUUUCGAAGGAGACGCUGUUGGGAUACUACCCUUGUGUUAUGGCCACUCUAACCCAGAUAGGUGAUCCCUAUCGGAGACAGUGUCUGACGGGCAGUUUGACUGGGGCGGUCGCCUCCUAAAAGGUAACGGAGGCGCCCAAAGGUUCCCUCAGAAUGGUUGGAAAUCAUUCGCAGAGUGUAAAGGUAUAAGGGAGCUUGACUGCGAGAGCUACAACUCGAGCAGGGACGAAAGUCGGGCUUAGUGAUCCGGUGGUUCCGUAUGGAAGGGCCAUCGCUCAACGGAUAAAAGCUACCCUGGGGAUAACAGGCUUAUCUCCCCCAAGAGUUCACAUCGACGGGGAGGUUUGGCACCUCGAUGUCGGCUCGUCGCAUCCUGGGGCUGUAGUCGGUCCCAAGGGUUGGGCUGUUCGCCCAUUAAAGCGGCACGCGAGCUGGGUUCAGAACGUCGUGAGACAGUUCGGUCCCUAUCCGUCGCGGGCGUAGGAAAUUUGAGAGGAUCUGCUCCUAGUACGAGAGGACCAGAGUGGACUUACCGCUGGUGUACCAGUUGUCUUGCCAAAGGCAUCGCUGGGUAGCUAUGUAGGGAAGGGAUAAACGCUGAAAGCAUCUAAGUGUGAAACCCACCUCAAGAUGAGAUUUCCCAUGAUUAUAUAUCAGUAAGAGCCCUGAGAGAUGAUCAGGUAGAUAGGUUAGAAGUGGAAGUGUGGCGACACAUGUAGCGGACUAAUACUAAUAGCUCGAGGACUUAUCCAA
rnacentral:rRNA from 1 species